rnacentral:misc_RNA from 1 species
UGCUAUGGCCAUCAGAGCUUUGCCCAAUCAACAUUCUAUCCAAGUAAGAUAUGUUGGUGGGGAGUGCCUUUGUGCAAUUCAGUAUAAUUUGUUGGUGGGAUUAUUGAACAAACAAGCUACAAAAAUGGAAGUUGAGGAAUCUUAUUCAUCAUUUAGCCAUGUUCAAGAUGUCUAUCUCUUGCCUUAUGAAGUAAAGAUUGGUCGCAGAGUCUUAGAAUUGAAAAAUUGCAAUCAUUUACUGCCCAAAGAGACUAAGUUUGAAAUUAGGAGAAGGCAGAGGAAGAAAAUGUGUUUCUUUGGAUAUUACUAUCGUCUACUGCUCGAAGGGAAUGAGUUUGAAAUGAGGAGAAGGCAAAGGAAGAAAAUCAGGGCCUUGCUGCAACUAUUCGUUUGCCCAAUGACUCUCCAAGUUGCUGGUUCCAGUGUUAUAUUGCUGCAACAGAGGUUGCAACCAAUGCUCACCAACAAAGCUCUGGCUGAGGUACCAGCUGAGAUUGCAACCUUCAUUCCUUUAGGCUCAUUUCUAGAUUUUCAACCUUCUUGGGGUCAAGAAGGUU